CUAGCUGGCUCCUCUCCCACUCGCGCCGCUCCCUAUCCUCUUCCUCACGCCCCGCCUCUCUAUCCCCCUCCAAACCCUAGCCCGCGCUCGCCUCCCUGCCCCGCCGCCGGCCUCCGCCGCUCGCCUGGGCACCCAUCGAUGAUCCGUCUUCCCCUCGCGCGGCCGCGCGUCCUUUGCUCCGCCCCGCCCCGAGGACUGGCGGCCCGCCCACUCCACCUCUCCGCGGACGCGCCCGAGUCCGCGUACUUCGUCCAGCCCGCGCCGCGCCGCGGCGCCUCCUCCUGCGCCACGCUGGCUCCGCCACCCCUGACUGCGCCCCUACAGCGGUUGCGCGCCCACGGGCCGCCUGCAGCGCCCCCCGCGCGGUCGCCGGCUCCCUCCGGCCGGCUCCGCCUCUGCUUUGUGCAACAUCGACCUCCCCGAGUUCUCUUUCUCUGGUGGGGGAGCUGCUGGCCACAAUCUAGACGAGCUGGAGUUCUGCUGUUGCGUUUUGCUAGGGGCUACUGCGUCUGGUUUGCUCUCUACUUGUGUGUCUGCGUGAUCCUUCUUUGUGAGCUUCUGUUGUACUAGCAUUGGUGGACAUUUAUCUUCAUAUGUGGGAAGAGGGGAUGAGUUUUAAUAAUGAAGCAUGUAAUGCAAAGAACGGGUGGGCACCUGCAAAGUGGUGAUGAGGAAGGAGUCUUGCAGGAGGAAGUUUCAGAGCUAGAUGGUCUAGCAUCCACGUUGAUUUAUGAAAAUACCGAGGCUGAGCAAUAGGCGGAGCUGGAUGCACAACAUGGGAUAUCAAAAAGAAGGUCGCCACUAGAGCCAGACGAGGUCAUGGCUUACCUUAACUGGUGAAGACACCACCAUCACCAUGUACAAGAGGGUACCAUCAAGGAUGUCGUCGUACUAAUUGCCGAUGACCUACAGAUUGCCUAUCUAUUUGUUGCAUUGGAGGAGGUAAGCCAGAGGCGAGAAAUAGAGCAUGCCAUGUGUGGUUUUUCAUUUCAGGCCUAAGAAAAUCCCUCAUGCUCAAAGUAAUGGGGGUUUGUGGCGAGAGGGGCGUUAUUUUACAUCAGUCAAUCCAUUAUGCAUCUUCAGCAUGUCAAUCACCUCCGCAUCCAUGUCCCCUUUGAUAACAUAGGAAGUAAUCGAAAGGGUAUAUGUCCCUUGACUAAAUUUAUCGACCUCUAGGUCGUGGCUGGUCAUCUUGCUGCACAUCAUAAGGGCUUAGAUACAAAUAGGUACCUCCUUUUAAUUGGCUGGUCACAAUGGCGGCGCAUCAAGGUGCAAGGCAGCGGCGUCAUGUUCAUACUACGGGAAAGGAAUAGCUCCUAAUAUUUUUAUGCUCCUUGCCGUAGGCAAUUGAUUAAGUCAAGAGGCAACAGGAAGGCAUGACGGCGAUCAAGGUCCUUAUGUACGCCGAGUGCUAUCUUUUGUCUACCAUAUCGUAUGAGAGUAGAUCAGGAUGAACCAACUAAGUCAUGUACUAUGUAUGUAGAACAUGUCCGGUCUAUAUCUGAAUCUAUGAAUAAUUAUAUCGAUGAUGUUUUAUGUCUACAUAGCCUGCCUUUUGUAUGCUAUAUAAGCUCAAUGUAUCAUUGUACUGUUCUUCUUUGACUUAGCAUAUAUGCCCAUUUUUGGAUAAAUUUUCAUGUGACUACCAGUGUUGUAAACCAGA